rnacentral:rRNA from 1 species
UACGUAGGGUGCGAGCGUUGUCCGGAAUUAUUGGGCGUAAAGAGCGUGUAGGCGGUUUGUCGCGUCUGCCGUGAAAAUUCGAGGCUCAACCUCGAACUUGCGGUGGGUACGGGCAGACUAGAGUGUGGUAGGGGAGACUGGAAUUCCUGGUGUAGCGGUGAAAUGCGCAGAUAUCAGGAGGAACACCGAUGGCGAAGGCAGGUCUCUGGGGCACUACUGACGCUGAGAAGCGAAAGCAUGGGGAGCGAACAGG